AAAAGCCUUCGGGGCAGGGUGAGGAAGCAGCGCUUCCAAUUCCCGAUCGGUGGUCAAAACCCACGAGCGCAUUUCCGCGCACGACCCGGUGAAAUUCCGGGGUCGACGGUACAGUCCGGAUGAAAGAAGGCCAAA
rnacentral:ncRNA from 1 species